UACGAAGGGGGCUAGCGUUGCUCGGAAUCACUGGGCGUAAAGCGCACGUAGGCGGAUUGUUAAGUCAGGGGGUGAAAUCCUGGAGCUCAACUCCAGAACUGCCUUUUGAUACUGGCAAUCUCGAGUCCGGGAGAGGUGAGUGGAACUCCGAGUGUAGAGGUGAAAUUCGUAGAUAUUCGGUAAGAACACCAGUGGCGAAGGCGGCUCACUGGCCCGGUACUGACGCUGAGACGCGAAAAGCGUGGGGAGCAAACAGG
rnacentral:rRNA from 1 species